UAUAAUAUGGUAUAAUUAAGAGGUAAAGAAAUGAAAAGAUGAUGGUGAAUCCCUUGAAAAAGGGGUGAUGCCUAUGGUUCAUAGUUUCAUUCCUAGAAGGUAACAGGCACGUGUCAACGUUUGAAGCAAUUCAACUAAUGAUCGCUUUUGCGUCAUUAGUUUUGCUGAUUAUUGACCACAA
rnacentral:sRNA from 1 species